GAUGAACGCUGGCGGCGUGCCUAACACAUGCAAGUCGAACGGAAGGGCCCUGCUUUUGUGGGGUUCUCGAUUGCCGAAGGCGUGAGUAUCACGUGUGUAACCUGCCCUUGUCUUUGGGAUAACUUCAGGAAACUCGGGCUCAUACCCGAUAUGAUCUCCUGCUGCGUGGUGGGGGUUGGAAAGUUUCGGCGGUUGUGGAUGGACUCGCGGCUUAUCAGCUUGUUGGUGGGGUUGUGGCAUACCAAGGCUUUGACGGGUAGGCGGCCUUAGAGGGUGACCGGCCACAAUAGGACUGAGAUACGCCGCAGUCGCGUACGGGGGGCAGCGGGGGAAAGUAUGACACAGUGGGCGGGAGCGUGAGACAGCAACCCCGGGUGCGUAAUGACGGCCUUCGGGGUGUAAACCGCUGUCGCCUGAGACGAAGCGUGAGUGACGGUAACUAAUAAAGAAGCACCGGCUAACUACGUG
rnacentral:rRNA from 1 species